rnacentral:rRNA from 1 species
CUACGGGGGGUGCAAGCGUUAAUCGGAAUUACUGGGCGUAAAGCGCGCGUAGGCGGUUAAAUAAGUUGGAUGUGAAAUCCCCGGGCUCAACCUGGGAACUGCAUUCAAAACUGUUUAACUAGAGUAUGGUAGAGGGAAGUGGAAUUCCAGGUGUAGCGGUGAAAUGCGUAGAUAUCUGGAGGAACAUCAGUGGCGAAGGCGACUUCCUGGAUCAAUACUGACGCUGAGGUGCGAAAGCGUGGGGAGCAAACAGGAUUAGAAACCCCAGUAGUCC